CUUUAGCGAGACGUCAUUCUAAUCGUUUGACGGAGUUGCGCAAAUCAAAGUAAAUUUUUGACUCUCACUCACUCAUUGCGGCUGCCAUGUUUUUUUUCAUGUGGGGUGUGUGUGUGUAUUGAAAUAACAUGAUAAAUUAACCCCAUUUAUACUGAUACAGAAGGGGUGCACCAAGUGCGUCAUUUGUUGAUAGCUAGUGACAAUGCGAUUGCACAUAAUUAACUGAAUUCGAAAAAGAUUGCCUUAUAAAAACGAACCACUAGCAAAGAACAGGCCAAAGAAUUUAAGGAUGUAUUAGUAAAGAGGCGUAACAAAGGAUCGAUUUUUACACACGGCCCACGGCAAUUGAUAAUGGACCCUCGAUUUCUGAGCAUGAUGAUGGUGUUUGAUAACGGCAGAAAGUAUCCAGGGCAGAAUGCGUAAGCAUAAAAGAGGGAGCCAGGCGGACGCCUGCAGGCCUGCCACGUCCAAAGAACUUCGACAGACUCCACACUCCACCAUCUGAUACCCACACACUUCGUACAGG